GGCAUGCCUUACACAUGCAAGUCGAACGGUAACAGGUCUUCGGAUGCUGACGAGUGGCGAACGGGUGAGUAAUACAUCGGAACGUGCCCGAUCGUGGGGGAUAACGAGGCGAAAGCUUUGCUAAUACCGCAUACGAUCUACGGAUGAAAGCGGGGGAUCUUCGGACCUCGCGCGGACGGAGCGGCCGAUGGCAGAUUAGGUAGUUGGUGGGAUAAAAGCUUACCAAGCCGACGAUCUGUAGCUGGUCUGAGAGGAUGAUCAGCCACACUGGGACUGAGACACGGCCCAGACUCCUACGGGAGGCAGCAGUGGGGAAUUUUGGACAAUGGGCGAAAGCCUGAUCCAGCCAUGCCGCGUGCAGGAUGAAGGCCUUCGGGUUGUAAACUGCUUUUGUACGGAACGAAAAGCCUCUUUCUAAUAAAGAGGGGUCAUGACGGUACCGUAAGAAUAAGCACCGGCUAACUACGUGCCAGCAGCCNCGGUAAUACGUAGGGNGCAAGCGUUAA
rnacentral:rRNA from 1 species